rnacentral:rRNA from 1 species
AGCUCUGUAAGCGUAUACCCAAGUUGUUGCAGUUAAAACGCUCGUAGUCGAAAGUUGGCGGGCGGCCUGGGGCGUCUUCACGGACGAUUCAGGCUGGCCGCCUUUGUGGAGGGGGGCCCAGCGGGGCUUCAUUGCGUUGCUGUGGUCGCUGCCACCGUUUACUGUGAAAAAAUUAGAGUGUUCAAAGCAGGCGUUUGCCAUGAAUACCUUAGCAUGGAAUAAUAGAAUAGGACCUGGUUUCCUGUUUUGUUGGUUUGUGAGGACCGGGUAAUGAUUAAGAGGGACGGUUGGGGGCAUUUGUAUUCCGGCGUCAGAGGUGAAAUUCUUGGAUUGGCGGAAGACAAACAGCUGCGAAAGCGUCUGCCAAGGACGUUUUCA